AGAGUGAGGGAAGAAAGGGAUGACUGGUGACAGAGUGAGAGAGGGGGUGACUAGUGACAGAGUGAAAGAGGGGGUGACUGUCACUAGUCACCCCCUCUCUCACUCUGUCACUAGUCACCCCCUUCCCUCUCUCUGUCA